GAUGAACGCUGACAGAAUGCUUAACACAUGCAAGUCAACUUGAAUUUGGGUUUUUUAACUUCGAUUUGGGUGGCGGACGGGUGAGUAACGCGUAAAGAACUUGCCUCACAGCUCGGGACAACAUUUGGAAACGAAUGCUAAUACCUGAUAUUAUGAUUAUAAGGCAUCUUAGCAUUAUGAAAGCUAUAUGCGCUGUGAGAGAGCUUUGCGUCCCAUUAGCUAGUUGGAGAGGUAACGGCUCACCAAGGCGAUGAUGGGUAGCCGGCCUGAGAGGGUGAACGGCCACAAGGGGACUGAGACACGGCCCUUACUCCUACGGGAGGCAGCAGUGGGGAAUAUUGGACAAUGGACCAAGAGUCUGAUCCAGCAAUUCUGUGUGCACGAUGACGUUUUUCGGAAUGUAAAGUGCUUUCAGUUGGGAAGAAAAAAAUGACGGUACCAACAGAAGAAGUGACGGCUAAAUACGUG
rnacentral:rRNA from 1 species